UUACGGCCACAUCACGUUGGAACAUGUGUUACCGCAUGAUAACCGAAGUUAAACAACGUCGAGCCUGGUCAGUACUUACAUGGGUGACGGUUUGGGAAUACCAAGUGCUGUAAG